rnacentral:lncRNA from 1 species
ACAAUUUUUCAAAUUAAAAAUAUACUGGAUCAGCAUCCAAAAAAAUAUUCUCUAAAAAAAUUAUGUCGAAUUUAUCAGCUAGCAUGACAAAAAUUGAUAAAUUCAUAUAAUUGAUUGUUUAGGGAUUAAACACUACUUCUACUAAUCCCCAACCAACCGACCAUUGACAUCUUUCUGGACAGGUGCCACACCAUGAAGGAGUCGAGCUCACUAUAAAAGUUCCAAUUCCACCACUUACAAGGGUAGCAAGAACAUCAGAGAGAAAUCACACCAUCGUUCGUCCAAUUUCAUACCCAAAUAAUCGAUUCCCCAUCCGAGCAUGUCAUCAAACAUUGGUGAACCUGACAUGAAUGAUUCUGUUCAAAAAAAUGUAGCAAAUCUAAUCCCAGAGCGAGAAAUCCCAGUCUCGUUCUUAGGGAAAAAACAGGCGGUACCGGAGCGAUUAUCGACGAGGAAGAACACUCACCAAAACUCAGGGAAAUGAUAGAAGAGGAACCAGGAAAACCUGACCUAGAGAAAAUUCCAGAAACCAGGAGAAAACGCGGAAGGGAGGCCGAACCCAACCCAAGCUUCGACCCACUCGACACCGGUGGAGAAGAAAAGAAAUCUUACAGCGAGAAAAGAUUUUACGGAAGCUGGCAAAAUUAAAAAAACAAAUAAAACUUCUAUCUCAAGCAGGGCAGGUAGCGAAAAUUAACCAAGGACUGAGCACGAGCUCACCUAAGUCGUGGUCAAAGGUCCAGACCCAGUGGCCC